CACACGUGCUGGAAGUGAAGACUUAAUAGUUGUCAUCAUAUUCUUCGUCUUCUGGUGGAGACUGCUCGACCUCAUGGUAGUCCAAUUCCAGGGCCGCUAGAUCCUCCCGUGCUUCUGCAAACUCUCCUAGAGAAGCCACAAGAGCAUGAGUCCAAGCAACAACUACAAGCCUAUCAUUAUCAGGUCUUGUAUCAAGAGAACAGGACAGGACCUAAGACAGCGGUAAAGUGGUCUCUGAGUUUCCUUUAUGGCUAUCAUGGGAUAUCAGACAAGACCUAUGAAACGAUCAUUCAUUUCUACUGGUAGGUGGCACAGCUGUGUGUGAAAAGAAGAAUGUUACCACUAGCAAUCAAGCACAUCAGCACAGGAUGAACUCACCAUUGUAUCAGAUGUAAUAAUGCCAACAAAUUAAACAGGCCUCUGGAAGGAAAAUUCUGCUUUAUGAGGUAAGAACUAACAGUACCUCUUUCUUUAAGCUUUCUUAGCAAUUGGAGGCCAGGGAAACAACUUAAGACAAAUCACACACAUAUUACUGUAGUAUGCCUUACUGUUAUUUAUUCAGCCAUGCAGGAAAAAGCAUUGGCCCAGCAGAUGACACGGACUGGGUCCAUUUUAGCAGUGGGGGGAGUAAACACGGCAUACGGACUGAGAGGGAGAGACCGGAUAGGAAUUUGCCACCUCAGACAUUGGUCCGGAUCAGAGAGGUCCAGAAGUGCAAGGGUUUACUGUAUUAUUAUUCUUAUAUGAAAAUAAGAUCCUGUGGACACCCAUGCAUAUAGAUGAUACACAGUUAGCAGAGGGAAUGAAGGGAAUUUUAAUACUGCUCUAGUUUACCAUAAAAAGACUAUAACACUGAGUCUGAAAGUAGUAUAACACAUGAACUUAACACUGUAUUGUAUAAAUAUUUUAAGUGUACUACUGUAUUAUUAGUAUUAUUUUGAACUAUUCAAGAAUGUUGUAUUUUGAUGUACUGUACUAUUAUUAUGAGCUAUUAAAGAAUGCUGUAUUUUGGACUGUUGACAUAUGCAUUACAUGUCAGUGACAAAUAAUUUCAUAAACAAACAUAGAAUAUUGAAACCACCAAGCAGUUUGCUCUUUUCUACAACUGUUUGAUACAGAUGGCAGAACAGAAAGGCAUUGGCUGUCACAGAGAAGGUGAUGAAUGUGGUAAAAUACUGUACUUCAGCAGCAAGCAGUGGACAUCAAAGUGGUAUUACCCAUAACAUAGUGCUUGGGUGAACACAGGCAGUAAAGUGAGCAAUAAGAAACUCAAAGAAGACACACAUGAUAGACACAUCAGUAAUUAUAUACAAUAAUAACAGGAUGAAUAAGUAUAUUUAUAAAGUCAAGGCAAAGAUAAAAAAAUACUGUUAAGAGAUACAAAAUACUGUAAAGGGUAAAAUCUAUGUGGUAUGAUGUAAGAAGUAUUAAAUACUGUAUAAGAUAA